rnacentral:rRNA from 1 species
GACGAACGCUGGCGGCGUGCCUAAUACAUGCAAGUAGAACGCUGAAGAGAGGAGCUUGCUCUUCUUGGAUGAGUUGCGAACGGGUGAGUAACGCGUAGGUAACCUGCCUUGUAGCGGGGGAUAACUAUUGGAAACGAUAGCUAAUACCGCAUAACAAUGGAUGACACAUGUCAUUUAUUUGAAAGGGGCAAUUGCUCCACUACAAGAUGGACUUGCGUUGUAUUAGCUAGUAGGUGAGGUAAUGGCUCACCUAGGCGACGAUACAUAGCCGACCUGAGAGGGUGAUCGGCCACACUGGGACUGAGACACGGCCCAGACUCCUACGGGAGGCAGCAGUAGGGAAUCGUCGGCAAUGGGGGCAACCCUGACCGAGCAACGCCGCGUGAGUGAAGAAGGUUUUCGGAUCGUAAAGCUCUGUUGUAAGUCAAGAACGGGUGUGAGAGUGGAAAGUUCACACUGUGACGGUAGCUGACCAGAAAGGGACGGCUAACUACGUG